rnacentral:rRNA from 1 species
UGGGGAAUAUUGCACAAUGGGGGAAACCCUGAUGCAGCGACGCCGCGUGAGCGAAGAAGUAUUUCGGUAUGUAAAGCUCUAUCAGCAGGGAAGAAAAUGACGGUACCUGACUAAGAAGCCCCGGCUAACUACGUGCCAGCAGCCGCGGUAAUACGUAGGGGGCAAGCGUUAUCCGGAUUUACUGGGUGUAAAGGGAGCGCAGGCGGUGCGGCAAGUCUGAUGUGAAAGCCCGGGGCUCAACCCCGGGACUGCAUUGGAAACUGUCGAACUAGAGUGUCGGAGGGGCAAGUGGAAUUCCUAGUGUAGCGGUGAAAUGCGUAGAUAUUAGGAGGAACACCAGUGGCGAAGGCGGCUUGCUGGACGACAACUGACGCUGAGGCUCGAAAGCGUGGGGAGCAAACAGG